GGACGAACGCUGGCGGCGUGCUUAACACAUGCAAGUCGAACGGAAAGGCCCUGCUUUUGUGGGGUGCUCGAGUGGCGAACGGGUGAGUAACACGUGAGUAACCUGCCCUUGACUUUGGGAUAACUUCAGGAAACUGGGGCUAAUACCGGAUAGGAGCUCCUGCUGCAUGGUGGGGGUUGGAAAGUUUCGGCGGUUGGGGAUGGACUCGCGGCUUAUCAGCUUGUUGGUGGGGUAGUGGCUUACCAAGGCUUUGACGGGUAGCCGGCCUGAGAGGGUGACCGGCCACAUUGGGACUGAGAUACGGCCCAGACUCCUACGGGAGGCAGCAGUGGGGAAUAUUGCACAAUGGGCGGAAGCCCGAUGCAGCAACGCCGCGUGCGGGAUGACGGCCUUCGGGUUGUAAACCGCUUUCGCCUGUGACGAAGCGUGAGUGACGGUAAUGGGUAAAGAAGCACCGGCUAACUACGUG
rnacentral:rRNA from 1 species